GAUGAACGCUGGCGGCGUGCUUAACACAUGCAAGUCGAACGGAAAGGCCCAAGCUUGCUUGGGUACUCGAGUGGCGAACGGGUGAGUAACACGUGGGUGAUCUGCCCUGCACUUCGGGAUAAGCCUGGGAAACUGGGUCUAAUACUGGAUAGGACCACUUCUUGGAUGUUGUGGUGGAAAGUUUUUUCGGUGUGGGAUGGGCUCGCGGCCUUUCAGCUUGUUGGUGGGGUAAUGGCCUAACAAGGCGUCGACGGGUAGCCGGGCUGAGAGGGUGUACGGCCACAUUGGGACUGAGAUACGGCCCAGACUCCUACGGGGGGCAGCAGUGGGGAAUAUUGCACAAUGGGGGGGAGCCUGAUGCAACGACGCCGCGUGGGGGAUGACGGCCUUUGGGUUGUAAACUCCUUUCGCUAGGGACGAAGCGUUUUGUGACGGUACCUGGAGAAGAAGCACCGGCUAACUACGUG
rnacentral:rRNA from 1 species